CUCUUUAUGUGUGUGCGUGUGUGCGGAUGAACAAGUUUGGUACAAAGUAGCCCAAAGACCAGCUGCAGUACAGAUUAGAGAUUGUGUGGUUUUCUGGUUGACUGGAUUGUUUCUCAUCUUUAGCUGUUUCCUCUCUGACAGAACUCCUAUGUCUUAUCUGAGUGCCACAGCCUUUCAUGAAUCUUUAUAUAGCUCUGUUGCCAUGGGCAUCAUUGUGGAUACACAGCCUGACACUAACCAAGAGAAACGACAGAAAGAUAAUUCAGAGAAAAGACAAAGUUCAGACCAAAACCGCUGAAAGGUUAGAUGAAUAUCAAUGUUUAUUUUAUGUUUUUUAUUAAAUCUGUGUGUCUAACAUUAAUGGAAAGUUUAUUUUAGCAUAGCUAUUGGUUGCGGCCUCAGGAAACUCUAUUGUCAGAGAAAAAUAGUGGGUAACAAUCUCCUGUCCUGGCAGGCCUCGGACUGUCGGGGCCGGAUAUUUGUGUUUGUUUACUGUAGAUAUUGUUUACUAUACCAUUACCAGAACAAACUGCUAAACUCUUUGUCCAACCAUGGGAAUCAGAAGGGAGAUUUUUCAUGUCAGCAUCCCGACUGUUCAAGUCAAAGCACGACUGCCCUGGUGGAAAAUCCAGCUUUAGUGAUUUAAAACAUGGUAGCUUGUCCAUGGUGGUUCAACAUUGUGGUGGUUCAGCUUAGAUUUGAAAUACCAGCUGGUAGGGACCUGGCUUGGCAGGCAGACCAUCGUGGACAAGUAAGAAGGCAGUUAAGAGGUUCUAAAACCAGCUGGACUUUGUAUGUUUUGCUGCAGGCCAGGUGUAGUUCCUCAAUCAUCAAAACCAGCCUAAAUGGACUUGGACCAGCUAGAAAUAAGAUACUAUGUGAACUUCAGUAACCCACUUGCAUCUGAGAAACAGAGAUAGCGAGUGAGGUACGUCUGCAUUUAUUCUGUGUAGAUCACAGAUGGAGGCACUGGAUGUCAUCCAGUCCUAUGGAAGUUGAGUAGACACAGAUAAGUUGAGCACAGGCAUAAUACUCUCUUUACUAUCAGGCCGCUCUGAAAUGAAUUGCCCCCCGGUCAUUCCCGUGGGCACAAUAAGGCCUUUUACAUUUCCUGAACACGCACUGGCACACAUGAUAACUCCCUGAUUGAAUUAGCUCAAUGCUAUACGACUUCCUGUAUGGAAAGCAGAUGAAUUUGAAAUUUGUAUGUCUUAUGGCAACAGAGAUUCAUAAUUUCACAUCUCAGCAAAUAUCCAAGGAAGAAAAUCGCAAUACUUAAUGACAUCACCACACCCUGUUGCCAAAAACAAUAUUGUUAUCGAAACAAUGAGACAUACCAAUCCUGAUAAUCUUGACAUUUCACUGUGAACCUCCACACCUUCAUUGUAAAUCCUGUUGAGUACGAUGCAAUCUGUGACUGUCACGUUUUGCACACUAUUAACAGGCCACAGACAUCCUGAAAGACGGCUUGCUCUGAAAUACUGAAGUGUGCUUAGUCAUAACAGAGAAAUAAUGACUCAGAAACAUGCCGAUGAUAUUUUUCAACACUUCAGUCAGCAUAUUGUGCCAAAGCCAUUCUGCUACACAUCGUAAUGUACGUUAUUCUUUUGUUUGAAACAGAUGCAGUGUAUGAACUGUUGUUAUUGAUCGUUACUUUUUGUUUGGAUGCUUUUAUUAAUGGUUUAAGUUAAUGUUGGCGGUUAUUGACUGGCCAGAAACACUCACUCUGGGCUCUUUUGCCUCCUCCCCUCAAAAAACUAUUAUCACAUACUUGACCUCCAAAGGUCAGGAAAAGGGAAAUCGAAAGCAGGGUCACAUUCUAACAGAGAAGCAAGAUAUUAUGCUGACCGUCUGAUACUUUUGAGAGGAAAUCAGUUAUGCUGACCUUUCAAGCAUAACUUAACAAUCGCUUUACAUCCUGUUGUGCCAAACUGAGAUGAUGAGUUUUAAAUAUGUAUUAAAUGUAUAUGAAUUUAUUUAUUUUCAUAUGUGUGUGUGUAUGUGUGUAUCAACAUCAGCCCCUGUAAUGAUAUGAUUGUUCAUCUUGCGCAGCUUUUUCUCUAUCUGCUCUUUUUUCUUUGCUGAAAGAUAUGCCCUGGAGAAAUUGGAUCACAUAUCCUGUGUGUGUGUGUGUGUAGUGUCAUGGAAGUGGAACUGAGAGCGUUGUGCUUUAAUAAGUGCUGCGCUGUAUCGUGUGACCUCCUGGUCAUGGCCCCAGGGACCUCCAUUCUCAUUACAAACAUCAUCCACGGUGCUUUGCUGCAGAUGGGGGCAAGUUUAAAAUUUCAAAUUUGCCAUCAGACAGUACAUACAAGUCAGGACGAUAUAAAAUCUGCCCUGCUCUGAUUCUCAGUUAAAUUAGUCAUGUCUUAAAUUCCUGAUUUCCUUUACUGAUUGCACCAUUAUCAGAUUGUGUUAUAUCAUAUCACCUCUAAAUAAACCAGUCUAGUCUGUAGUGUCUGCAAAUUCUGUUAUGCCUUCAGGUGCAAAGAUGUUUCAUUGUUUUUGCUACUUCCUGUUUCCCUGUUGAGGGCUUAUACUAUGUUUUUGUAGUGGUUUGACCCCGCAGUUUCACAUUUUCACAGAAGUUCUGUAGAGAAUCACUCAGUCUUGUACUGUAGUUGUAAGAGUUUUCUGUAUAGAAUAGGAAAUCCAAAUGUAGCUGGUCUCAAUGAAAUGGGAUGGGUGAAAUACCAAUCUAAAAGACUGCUAUUUGGUAGAAAGGCCUUCUACAAACAACAAAUAAAUGGUUUAUAUUUACAAAACAGGAUAUGAUAUACCUGAAUAUAAAAUCAUAAAUUGAAAGCAAGACUGUGUCUGUGAUAUUAUGAUGAAAUACUGUCAAGUGCCUUUCUGUCAAGGAAUCCUUUCAAAAACAUGAACCGUUCAUAAAC
rnacentral:lncRNA from 12 species